CGGAUUUAUUGGGUUUAAAGGGUGCGUAGGCGGCCUAUUAAGUCAUUGGUGAAAUCCUGCAGCUUAACUGUAGAACAGCCAUUGAUACUGAUGGGCUUGAGUUCAGACGAGGUAGGCGGAAUUUAUGGUGUAGCGGUGAAAUGCAUAGAUACCAUAAAGAACACCGAUUGCGAAGGCAGCUUACUAGACUGACACUGACGCUGAGGCACGAAAGCGUGGGGAUCAAACAGG
rnacentral:rRNA from 1 species